rnacentral:tRNA from 2 species
GCCCGGGUGGUGAAAUUGGUAGACACAAGAGACUUAAAAUCUCUCGCUCGUAAGGGUGUGCCGGUUCGACUCCGGCUCCGGGCACCA